UUGUGCUAGAUGGGGAGUUAGCGGUGCCCUGUAACCUGCAAUCCGCUAUAGCAGGAUUGAAGUCCUCACCGAGGCCUUAACUUGUAAGGUCUGCCCUAUGAAAGUGGCGUUGAUGGUUGGGUCCCACGCAACAUAAGCCCGUGAACUUCGUCAGGUCCGGAAGGAAGCAGCGAUAAGCGGUUACUUGUGUGUGCCGUGGCAAACCUGGCCUGAGUUAACUACAUAGGUAACGCUUAUAAGUUAUUGUCAGAGUGAGGUGCACAA
rnacentral:SRP_RNA from 1 species